rnacentral:rRNA from 1 species
CGGGCUAAUACCGGAUAACACAUGAAACCGCAUGGUUUCAUUAUGAAAGACGGUUUUGCUGUCACUUAUAGAUGGACCCGCGGCGUAUUAGCUAGUUGGUAAGGUAACGGCUUACCAAGGCAACGAUACGUAGCCGACCUGAGAGGGUGAUCGGCCACACUGGAACUGAGACACGGUCCAG